rnacentral:rRNA from 1 species
AAUAGCCUAACGGCUGAACCAGCAACUUGGAGGAAUGAAUAGCAAUAGCUAAUUGCACAUAUGUAUGAUGCAAUAUCGACUCAGUCGAAUAAAAUUCUGGCUAGAAUUAUGAUAAUGACAUUGUCUAGCCAUGUGUCUUGACCAAAUUACGUGCCAGCAGUCGCGGUAAUACGUAGAAGACUAGUGUUAUUCAUCUUUAAUAGGUUUAAAGGGUACCCAGACGGUAAAUUAAGCCCUAGACGGGACUAAUUUGCUAGAGUUACUUACACGGGGGUUCUAAAGUACUAAUGGUGUAGAGAUAAAAUUUUGUAAUACCAUUUUUUGAAAGAAAAGUUAUGGCACUGAUAAAGGCGAAAGCAUCCCCUUAUGUGAUAACUGACGUUGAAGGACGAAGGCUUUGGAUCGCGAAUAGGAUUAGGUACCCUAAUAGUCUAAGCAGAUAAUUAUGAGUGUCAUAGAUUAGAAAUUAAUUUUAUUCUAUAAAUGAAAGUGUAAGCACUCCACCUCAAGAGUAAUUUGGCAACAUUGGAACUGAAAUCAUUAGACCGUUUCUGAA